UACGUAGGGUCCAAGCGUUAUCCGGAAUCACUGGGCGUAAAGCGUGCGUAGGCGGGAAUUUAAGUGAGUUGUUAAAUCGUGUGGCUCAACCAUAUCGAUGCAAUUCAUACUGGGUUCCUAGAGGAAGGCAGAGGCAAGUGGAAUUUGUAGUGUAGCAGUGAAAUGCGUAGAUAUUACAAGGAACACCAAUGGCGAAGGCAGCUUGCUGGGCCUUUUCUGACGCUGAGGUACGAAAGCGUGGGGAGCGAACAGG
rnacentral:rRNA from 1 species